ACGUUCACUAAUGUUGAAGUGCUAGCAUUAGCCCUGCUACUGGUGACGGUUAGUUAACAACAACAAACACUAGCUCCUUGUUAUUAAGUAUGGAAUAAUAAUAUCCCGCCAUAUCGAAAAAAAGACUUGUAACCGGAGACAACCUGAUCUCACAGAAAUAUGUGACAUACGCACGGAUGUCGUUGACUCUGCAUUACGUGGUAGUGAUGGGACGAACAACACUGGUCGAGUGCACAAGUGUGAUCAUCAUGAAAUCAUGUGACCGAUACAGGGAGUGUGUUGUUUGGAUGUGCCGCACCAAAUUGUGUUUAUAAGGAAACAAACUGUAUCGACAUGUUGCGUGUUUGUUGGAUGAAGAUUAAACUGUUUGCUGUGCCUGUUGGAUUUUUUGCUUUGCUUCCACUCAUGGAUUGUUCUAGAAAAUUUUCACAAGUCUGGAAUAAUUUUGAUCUUUUGACGCCAAAUAAGGUGAAGUGUCGGCUCUGCUCAACAGAAUUGUCUUACAUCAAUCAGAGCACGUCAUCAAUGCUGAGGCAUUAUAGAGCUCGGCAUGGCAAUGAAGAGUUGGCAGACACUCCUGCUUUCCUAACAAGCAAGCAUUGGAUGAGGCUGUGAUCAACAUGAUCAUCAAAGACUGUCAGCCACUCACCCUUGUAGAAAAUGAGGGAUUCAGGGCGCUCAUGCAGCUUGUUGCAUCCUCAUAUGUUCUACCAAGCAGGAAGGUAUGUGUAAGAAAUGUAUGGUUGAAUUAAUUAAUGAGUACUUUCGAUAGAUAGAUAGACAGACAGACAUGUAUGUAUUCAUAAGGUAUUACAAUAUUUGUAUGGUUAUUUUUAGACCGUCAAGGACUUGGUGAGAAAACAAAAAAAGGACCUUCAGAGCGCGGUUGCUGUUACUUUAACAGCUGACAUGUGGACCUCGAGGAUGAGAUCAUAUUCAAAGUAAAAGACUAGCAAUUGAAUAAAGAUUAAAUUUUAUUUCACAGGCUAAUGUUGGGUUAACAGCAUGCAAGUUUUUCCAUCUUUUCAUUUUGUUUACCUGCAAUGAUUUUAGAUCUACAGCAGAGAUCACUAUUGAGUAACCAACACAGCGUCAAUACAGUGUCAACACAGUUUGUGUAAUGUGUCAAUACACUCCUUGAGCCAUCAUCAAACCAUCCCUAUUACGUGGUACCGACACGAAAUGUGGUAAAAUUAAGUGCGGGCACCACGGAAAACUACGUGCGGCAGAAAAUAAAGGCAUGAAUGGAAAGCCUUUCUUCUUCUUGACAAACUGGACUGGUGCAAGAACGUGGACAUGGUCUACAGAAAGGGCCAGAGCCGCCUCUACUUUCUGAGGCGGCUGAGGUCCUUCAACAUCUGCAGGACGAUGCUGAGG